rnacentral:rRNA from 1 species
GACGAACGCUGGCGGCGUGCCUAAUACAUGCAAGUAGAACGCACAGUUUACACCGUAGCUUGCUCCACCAUAGACUGUGAGUUGCGAACGGGUGAGUAACGCGUAGGUAACCUGCCUGGUAGCGGGGGAUAACUAUUGGAAACGAUAGCUAAUACCGCAUAAUAUUGAUUAUUGCAUGAUAAUUGAUUGAAAGAUGCUAUUGCAUCACUACCAGAUGGACCUGCGUUGUAUUAGCUAGUAGGUGAGGUAACGGCUCACCUAGGCGACGAUACAUAGCCGACCUGAGAGGGUGAUCGGCCACACUGGGACUGAGACACGGCCCAGACUCCUACGGGAGGCAGCAGUAGGGAAUCUUUGGCAAUGGACGAAAGUCUGACCGAGCAACGCCGCGUGAGUGAAGAAGGUUUUCGGAUCGUAAAGCUCUGUUGUAAGAGAAGAACGGGUGAGAGAGUGGAAAGUUCACACUGUGACGGUAUCUUACCAGAAAGGGACGGCUAACUACGUG